ensembl:lncRNA
CCAACAUCCACCAGAGUAUGUGGGUCGGCCUGAGCACUUUUCCAUUGAUCCACAUCGAUUAUGAACAUCGGCACCUUCCUUAGACGACCUGGUGACCCGGGGCUCCCCCAGGAGCACCAUGUCCAUACCGAACUUAGUGCGGACACCAGAUCGGCAUAGCGCGCUGCAGCCCAGAGCUCCUGAGCUCAAGCGAUCCACCAGCCUCAGCCUCCCGGUAACUUGGAUCACAGGCGAGCGCCACUGCACCCGGCCACACAGACACACUAACAAUUACAUGUACACACAGACACACUAACAAUUAGAUGUACAAACGAACACAUCCUGAUGAUCCUCCUCACGUCUCUUCUCCUUGUCUGCAGACCAACAGGACGCCAUCAGGACGCCACGUCAUCGGGACGCCAUCAGGACGCCACGUCAUCGGGACGCCAUCAGGACACUACGUCAUCGGGACGCCAUCAGGAUUCCAUCAGGACGCCAUCAGGACGCUGCGUCAACCCCUCAGGAGCAAAUCCAGAUCUACUCAUGACACACACACACACCCACACACACACACACACACACACACACAGAUGUACUCAAAGACACACUAACAUUUAGACACGCUGGCAAAUUUAGAUGUACAAUUAGAUGUACACACAGACACACUAACAUUUGGUUCUAAACAAAGACACACACUAAUAUUUAGAUGUACACAAAGACACAUUAAUAUUUAGAUGUACACACAGACACACUAACAAUUAGAUGUACACACAGACACACUAACAUUUGGUUCUAAACAAAGACACACACUAAUAGUUAGAUGUACACAAAGACACAAUAACAAUUAGAUAUACACACAGACACACUAUCAUUUGGUUCUAAACAAAGACACACACUAAUAUUUAGAUGUACACAAAGACACAAUAGCAAUUAGAUGUACACACAGACACACUAUCAUUUGGUUCUAAACUAAGACACACUAAUAUGUAGAUGUGCACAAAGACAUAUUAAUAUUUAGAUGUACACACAGGCACACUAUCAUUUUGUUCUAAACAAAGACACACACUAAUAUUUAGAUGUACACAAAGACACAAUAACAAUUAGAUGUACACACAAACACACUAACAAUUAGAUCUACACACAGACACACUAACAAUUAGAUCUACACACAGACACACUAUCAUUUGGUUCAAAACAAAGACACGCACUAAUAUUUAGAUUUACACAAAGACACAUUAAUAUUUAGAUGUACACACAGACACACAAACAAUUAGAUGUACACACAGACACACACUAACAUUUAGAUGUACACAAAGACACACACUAAUAUUUAGAUGUACACAAAGACAUAUUAAUAUUUAGAUGUACACACAGACACACUAACAUUUAGAUGUACACACAGACACACUAACAAUUAGAUGUACACACAGACACACUAACAACAUUAACAUGUUAAUAACUUUUCUCCUUUUCUCUCUUCUCAGGAACUGCUUCAGAUGUUUUCCCAAUGAUUGUGUUAUUAUUAUUGUUAAAUAUGUC